GACGAACGCUGGCGGCGUGCCUAAUACAUGCAAGUAGAACGCUGAAGGAGGAGCUUGCUUCUCUGGAUGAGUUGCGAACGGGUGAGUAACGCGUAGGUAACCUGCCUGGUAGCGGGGGAUAACUAUUGGAAACGAUAGCUAAUACCGCAUAAUAGUAGAUGUUGCAUGACAUUUGCUUAAAAGUUGCAAUUGCUUCACUACCAGAUGGAGCUGCGUUGUAUUAGCUAGUUGGUGGGGUAACGGCUCACCAAGGCGACGAUACAUAGCCGACCUGAGAGGGGGAGCGGCCAGACUGGGACUGUGACACGGCCCAGACUCCUACGGGAGGCAGCAGUAGUGAAUCUUCGGCAAUGGACGGAAGACUGACCGAGCAACGCCGCGUGAGUGAAGAAGGUUUUCGGAUCGUAAAGCUCUGUUGUAAGGGAAGAACGAGUGUGAGAGUGGAACGUUCACACUGUGACGGUAUCUUACCAGAAAGGGACGGCUAACUACGUG
rnacentral:rRNA from 1 species